rnacentral:rRNA from 1 species
UACGUAGGGUGCGAGCGUUAAUCGGAAUUACUGGGCGUAAAGCGUGCGCAGGCGGUUCGUUAAGUCAGAUGUGAAAGCCCCGGGCUCAACCUGGGAACUGCAGUCGAGACUGUCUAGCUAGAGUAUGGGGAGAGGGAAGUGGAAUUUCAGGUGUAGCGGUGAAAUGCGUAGAUAUCUGAAGGAACAUCAGUGGCGAAAGCGACUUCCUGGACCAAUACUGACGCUCAUGUGCGAAAGCGUGGGGAGCAAACAGG